AGACGAUUGCUGCUAGGGGUGGGGGACGCUUCCAGAGAUCAGAGGCGGGAGACUGUUUACCGGACUGAGCCCUCCCGCUCACACAGUGAGCGGCAGACCGGAUGACCUCAGCCUGGUGCACUGCCCUCUUCCCCUCUCGAGGUCCCGGGGAGGAGUCGCCCGUGCGGACUGAACAAAGUCGAGUUCCUGCGCUGGUCCCGCACAGAGGCCGAAGGAAAGGGCAGGGAUGAGGCUGUGCCUGCUGGGCUGCUUGGUGGCCGCACUGAUUUGGGAGGGGGCCGGCAUCCCCCUGGGAAGGGCUCCAACACGGGAGGAGUCAAAGGAACAGGUCAAGAUCAAGAGACUCAAGCAUCAUCGUUUUCACCCUUCUAACAGGAUACCGUUCCAAAUGAGGACCGUCGAACAACCUCUACUACAGGCAUUUAAGAGAGAUUGGAAUUCCUCAGAAGACUUCCCCAUAUGCUGCGAUGGCAGCGUGGACGGGCCCGAGAGCAGAAAGGAAGGAGGGGAAGCCGGCAGGAAUUCUUCCACGGAGGACAUAUACGUGAUAUUCGGGACGUUCGUGGAUCCUGCCGAGGAGGGAACAUUGGAAAGAAGGAGCCGUUGUGAAGGCUGUUGUGGAGAGAGAGUCACUUUGGGGCCGGAAUCCUGGAGAAGCCAGGAGGAGGCCGGGGAUGUUCCGGGUACCGGAACCACUCACAUGGAGAAGACCGGGGAAAUGAAGGUCAUCAAUCUGCAUGAUAACAUCAACUUGACUUUUGCUUUGAGCAGACCCUUCACCCAAGUCUGGAAGAAAGAAAGUGACCUCUGUGCUGGCUGCUGCCCUGACCCCAGGACCCACCGAUCAGAAGUCCCUGCAGAUGGAGAGGAAGGAGGAGUGGUCGGGAGCUCUCCUGGGCUGGCCAGUGUCCAAGGACCACAGAAUUCCUGGACCAGACUGGGCCAUUUGAUCCGCAGGAUUCAGGUUCAUUAUCCGAACGGGAGCUACCAGAUGUAUGAAACAUACAAGUUACAAAUGCCUUUACAGACCUGUCUCCCAUGUCCCACAGUUAGAGAGUACAACUUGACGGAGACAAAAGUCUUCAUUGUCGACUAGGAUCCUGGAGGAUACUUCUGGGGUAACCCAGGGCCCCCCACCCAGCCAAUACACCCUCAGGAGGAGAAAACACAGAGAAGAACCCAGGGAGGGUCUUACUGCUCAAGGCCAUCCAAGGACCAAUUAAGUUAAACUGGUGUCAACCCAACCCGGCCCUGUGGAAUCCAGAACAACCAAUCUGGUCUCUCUCUCUCUCUCUCUGGUAGCACCAAGCUUAGGUGGCUACUCUUCCUGCUUCCAAUCGCUCUUUCCUUCCUCCCCCACGCUCGGUCUCUUGUGUCUUUACACCGAUCUGGCCUGCAGCCCAGCUUCCUCCCCUCCCCUGCGAGGCCACUACUCUCUGUAACAGUCACCAAGAAGCCUCAGGUUGGGCAGGAAACGGUUAACCCCGCAGGGAAUGAUGGAGGAAUCUGGGAAUAAAGGAGUUGGAGAUCUGUUCUCAGUGCCCUUGUCUUGGGGGGGACAGUCGAUGCUGAGAGUCUCCAGGAGGAAAAAUUGGGCUCCCCUUAAUAAUAAUAGUAAUUACUAAUUAUUAUGUAUUACUAUAGUAUUAAGUGCUGGAGCAGAGCCAAGAUAAUCAUGUUGCACACAGUCCUUGUCUCACAGGGGUUUCACAGACUAGACAGAAGGAAGUAGAAUUUAAUCCACAUUUAAUAGAUGAGGAAACAGACACGGAGAAGUUAAGUGAUUUGCCCAAAGUCACCCAGCGGGCAACUGGCAGAGAUGACAUUUGAACCCAGGUCCUCUGGCUCCCAGGCCCGGGGUCUUUCUACGGCUUCCGUUAAUCUUGUCUGUGGCAGACAGGAGUCCUCUCGGGGCUGACAAAUCACCACCACCCCUUCCUGCUGUCGCCGGAGUCAUAUUGAGGUUUGAUUCCAACUGAGUCUUCCGUAACUCAACCCAGUUUCUAAGUUAAAAUCUUGGAACUAGGCUUCUGUGAGGCAGGCAACUGUUUCCACAGUAACGGGCAUCUACAAAGACGCCCCCCGCCCAAUUUUACUUUCUCUUCUGGAACCUCGCCCAGGCCAAGGGACAACCACUCCCUCCCAAUCUCCCCAGAACCAGGUGGGGCUGGCCACCGCACGCAAAAUUACCGGCCACCGCAAAGCCCAUGUCGUCACAUGUGCUAGGUCAGGCCUGCAGUGUACCGUAUUGACAUCGUAUAUGACAUUUUGAGGUCUUCCACCUGUGUCCUCCUGAAUCGAGCGUGUUUCUCUGAUUCCCCAACUCUCACUCACUCCCCAGUUUUGUGUCCCCUUCCCAAGUCCGUGUGAAUAUAGACGCCGCUUCCAAGCCGUGGAACGCAGCGUUCGGCUUGACGGCGGAGGAGGACGGAUACCUUUUUUUAUGGUAUUUGUUAAGUACUUACUAAGAGUCAAACACCGUUCUAAGCACUGGGGUAAGUACAUACUAAUUAGGUCGGACACAAUCCCUGUCCCUCACGGGGCUCACAGCCUAAGUAGGAGGCAGAAAAGGGAUUAAAUUCCCACUUUAUAGUCGAUGAAACUGAAGCACAGAAAAGUUAAGUGACUUGUCCAAGAUCACACACCAAGCAGUUGGCAGAGCUAUUGGAUGGGGUGGGAUUCAAACCCAGGUCCUCUGACUCCCAGGCCCGGGCCUUUUCCAUUAGGCCAUGAUGCCUUGGUACUUAGCCCCAAAUCCCAGACCUAAAGGCGUCUGGUGUCCUAAUUGCCUCAGCCUGGGACAGACCAGCUGAAAAAUGACCCGUCUGAUGUAAAACUGGGUGAAUGGCCACUUUACAGAGCAAUAAUCAAGAGCCAGGAUUAGAACCCAGGUCCUCUGACUCCCGGGCCUGGGGUCUUUCCAUUAGGCCACACUGCUUCAUCUGUCACCAUCUGCCCUGCUUCUAGAAGUGCCUGAACCCUGACAGAGCCCUGGGGAGUAGCAGCAGGGGGAGGAGGCAAAUCUGUAGUAUUCAUUCAAUAUUCAUUCAAUAGUAUUUAUUGAGCGCUUACUAUGUGCAGAGCACUGUACUAAGCGCUUGGGAUGAACAAGUCGGCAACAGAUAGAGACGGUCCCUGCCGUUUGACGGGCUCACGGUCUAAUCGGGGUAGAUGGACGGACAAGAACAAUGGCGAUUAUAUAGAGUCGAGGGGAAGAACAUCUCGUAAAAACCGAUGGCGACUAAAUAGAAUCGAGGCGAUGUACAAUUCAUUAACAAAAUAAAUAGGGUAACGGAAAUAUAUACAGUUGAGCGGACGAGUACAGUGCUGUGGGGAGGGGAAGGGAGAGGUGGAGGAGCAGAGGGAAAGGGGGAAAAGAGGGUUUAGCUGUGGAGAGGUGAAGGGGGGGCGGUAGAGGGAGUAGAAGGAGAAGGGAGCUCAGUCUGGGAAGGCCUCUCGGAGGAGGUGAGUUUUAAGUAGGGUUUCGAAGAGGGGAAGAGAAUCAGUUUGGCGGAGGUGAGGAGGGAGGGCGUUCCGGGACCGCGGGAGGACGCGGCCCGGGGGUCGUCGGCAGGAUAGGCGAGACCGAGGGACGGCGAGGAGGUGGGCGGCGGAGGAGCGGAGCGUGCGGGGUGGGUGGUAGAAAGAGAGACGGGAGGAGAGGUAGGAAGGGGCAAGGUGAUGUAGAGCCUCGAAGCCUAGAGUGAGGAGUUUUUGUUUGGAGCGGAGGUCGAUAGGCAACCACUGGAGUUGUUUAAGAAGGGGAGUGACAGGCCCAGAUCGUUUCUGCGGGAAGAUGAGCCGGGCAGCGGAGUGAAGAAUAUACCGGAGCGGGGCGAGAGAGGAGGAAGGGAGGUCAGAGAGAAGGCUGACACGGUAGUCUAGCCGGGAUAUAACGAGAGCCCGUAGCGGUAAGGUAGCCGUUUGGGUGGAGAGGAGAGGGCGGAUCUUGGCGAUAUUGUAUAGGUGAAACCGGCAGGUCUUGGUAAUCGCCCCUUCAUCUCCACCCAGGUCUGGGCUGUUCGCCCAGGGCCUUUGCGCUCUGCCAAUGUCAGAAGGGGGAGAGUGUUUACCAAGCGGAGGCCCAGCUCCCCCACAGGGUGCAGCCCAAUGACCCAAGCCUCGGGGACUGCUCUCUCCACACUCUGGGGUAGAGGAGAGGGCCCCCACUGAAGCCGCAGUGACGGGAAGAGAUGAGGCUGGGACCACUGGGCUUCUUGGUGGCCGGGCUGGCCCUGGGGGUAGCCAGCAGCCCCCUGGGAAAGGCCCCCGCCCAGAGGUUACAGGUACAGGACGUGGGAGUGGGCACGGGGACACCAGAGGAACGGGGGUAACGGUCAAUUCAUGGAGGCAAAGGGGGUUCGCGGGGCUGAGGCGGAGACGGAGACCGGGGCCAGGGAGCGAGGGCAGGGUCCCCCUUCCCUUGUCCCUCUUCCACCCAUCGGGGCCAUGCAGACCCCUCCAUCUCCCCCCUCGUUCACAAAGUUAAUCCCGGCCCGGACGUCUUCCCGACUCCUCCCUCUGCCACCUAAUUCAUUUCUCCUCUUGACUGAGGGUUCCUCACAAACCUCUCUGACCAUCCCUAAACUGAGUCACCCUCCCUGGGUAUGUUUUCCAUAUCACAGUAUUUCUGUUCCCUGUACUAGAGUUUCCCAGAUAGGAGAUUGUGGAUAGGUUGGGGGAUCUGGGCUGGCUAGAGAUUCCGGAGCCGUUGGGCAUUCUGGAGCAGCUGGGGAUUCUAGAGCCGUUGGGCUGACCCGUUUCAGUAGGGGGUAGGCGUCCUCUUGAAGGCCCUUUGUGGGGUCAGUUUCCUGUUUGCUUCAACAGGUGCCCUGGUGCCUUGGCGACCGUUUCCCUCCCACCAGAAGGCCUUGACUUUCCUGUCGGCUUUCUAGUUACCCCUUUCUCUCGUCCCUUCUCCAACCCAAUUUCUGAACAAGUAACGGCACCAAUUCUGGUGAAGCAGUACAGGUCCAAGGUGGGCGGCCCCAUCCCGGCUCCUUUCUUUCUUUCUUUUAAAUUUUAACAAUAAUAAUAAUAAUUUGUUAAGCACUUACUCUGUGCCAGGCACUGUUCUAAGUGCUGAGAUAGAUACAAUAAGAGAAAUAGUAAUUAUGGUACUCUGUUAAGUGCUUACUAUGUGCCAAUCACUGCUCUAAUCAUUGGGAUAGAUACAAGAUAAUCAGGUUGGACACAUUUAUGCUUUUUUUUUUGUAAGGUUGGACCGAUUUUUAGGAAAAGAC
rnacentral:lncRNA from 1 species